CGACUAAGCGUACACGGUGGAUGCCCUGGCAGUCAGAGGCGAUGAAGGACGUGCUAAUCUGCGAAAAGCGUCGGUAAGGUGAUAUGAACCGUUAUAACCGGCGAUGUCCGAAUGGGGAAACCCAGUGCAAUUCGUUGCACUAUCGUUAACUGAAUACAUAGGUUAACGAGGCGAACCGGGGGAACUGAAACAUCUAAGUACCCCGAGGAAAAGAAAUCAACCGA
rnacentral:rRNA from 3 species